CCAAACAGGGGAUUGCCCCAGUAACGGCGAGUGAAGCGGCAACAGCUCAAAUUUGAAAUCUGGCCUCUGGCCCGAGUUGUAAUUUGCAGAGGAUGCUUCGGGCGCGGUGCCUUCCAAGUCCCCUGGAACGGGGCGCCGGAGAGGGUGAGAGCCCCGUACGGUUGGCGGCCAAGCCUGUGUGAAGCUCCUUCGACGAGUCGAGUAGUUUGGGAAUGCUGCUCUAAGCGGGAGGUAGACCCCUUCUAAAGCUAAAUACCGGCCAGAGACCGAUAGCGCACAAGUAGAGUGAUCGAAAGAUGAAAAGCACUUUGAAAAGAGGGUUAAACAGCACGUGAAAUUGUUGAAAGGGAAGCGCUUGUGACCAGACGUGCGCCGGGGUGUUCAGCGGGCGUUCUCGCCCGUGCACUCGCCUCGGCGCAGGCCAGCGUCGGUUUGGGCAGAGGGAUAAAGGCGCCUGGAAUGUGGCUCCCCCGGGAGUGUUAUAGCCAGGCGUGCCAUGCCUCCGCCCGGACCGAGGUACGCGUUCCGCAAGGACGCUGGCGUAAUGGUUCCCAGCGACCCGUCUUGAAACACGGACCAAGGAGUCGAGGUUUUGCGCGAGUGUUUGGGUGAAAAACCCGCACGCGUAAUGAAAGUGAACGUAGGUGAGAGCUUCGGCGCAUCACCGACCGAUCCUGAUGUUUUCGGAUGGAUUUGAGUAAGAGCGUAGGGCCUCGGACCCGAAAGAUGGUGAACUAUGCUUGGAUAGGGUGAAGCCAGAGGAAACUCUGGUGGAGGCUCGCAGCGGUUCUGACGUGCAAAUCGAUCGUCAAAUCUGAGCAUGGGGGCGAAAGACUAAUCGAACCAU
rnacentral:rRNA from 1 species